UAUUAAGGACUCAAAAUGCAGAAUGUUGAAGUCUCAAAAUGCAGAAUAUAUCCACCUAAGAUUUAGAAAAAGGUUUCUGACAAAGCAGGAGCUAAUCUUUGGAUUUUAUUUCAAAAGAUAUUUGCUACGUAUUCAGUGUAAUGGAUGCACAGCAGUCACCAAACAUUCCAUUCACAAUUUUUCCACUCAAAUUGAAGAGGGUAAGUGUGUGCUUUGAGGAUAGUUAAUGGUUUUCACACUAUUUAAUGCUAAUAGCAGCUUACCUUUUAGGUUAACUUCUCUAAUGCGUGUCUUUGAAUUUGUUGUAGCCUACCUUCUGUUUUCUGAAUCCAUUAUUGUAGCUGACAUUUGCAAAUAUUGGCAAUGUAGAGCAGCAAAGCUGCACUCAUUUUAGAAUUGUGUUAGAAGUAAUUAAUGCAAAUUACGAGAACAAUUUUAAAUGUAAAUAACCAAGAAAGAUUUGGUUUAUCUUUUUAUAGAUCUCUGUAAAAAUAGAUUUGAUGUUUAAAUAUACAACUGAAUCAUUUUUAACUUUAUUCUAGCACCACGUACAUCUGUGAUAAUUGUUGUAGUUUCCAAAGCUACUGCUUAAAUUGAGACCCCAUGUUUUUCAAGACUACGCUAUUUCUUGCUGAUCGUUUCCAUUGGAAGAAUCAUAAAGGUAAUAAUCAUUCUUUGUCUUUCAGAUUUUUUUUAGCUUUCAGCCCUAAUUCCAUGACAAGGAUCCUGACAACGAUUUAGACAAGGCCAUGUUAAUUUUUUUUCUAUUGAUCGCACAUAAGAAUUGUCUAUAACCCUUUAACUGAAUUUGAGUGGUCUGUGCAUUUACGUAUAAUUCUAUUUUGGAGACCAAUCAUGAGAUGCACCAGAUGUUCUCUAUUAGUUUACUUUAGCUAGUUGUUGAUAAUGGAAAAAUUGCACUAGAAUAUACUUACAAACAAACUUAUUUGUCAAAACUUCAAUAUUGCCUAGAUAGCCAACCAGUACUCUAAAACAACUUCUUUUAUAGCUUGGGCUGAUAGUGUCAAAUUUGUCAUAUUAUUUGCAAUAAAACAAACUCAACUCUCAGAUCAAGGAACAGAGAAAUGCAAAGUUAAAAACAGCGAAGAGCCAGCUCAGCUACAUGAAGAACUUUUCAAACCAUGUUCGCCUUAUUCUGUGGUAUGGUAACCAGAAAGUGAAAGACAAAUUACAAAGUGAUGUCCACUAGACAUAAGACACAAGAAGUAAGACAUAAGAGAUUCAUUUCAACCAACAAGAAUUACAAUUUAAGUUAUGAUUAAUAAAAAAUAAAGAAACAAGUACAUUGGACUAGGUUUACCAUAAUCUAUGAUACCAAGUCAUUAAAUUAAUGACAUUGAAAAUUUUAGAAAAGAACCCAAUGGUUGGGAAGGGAUCUUAUAGCAGAGCUAAUUCACAGACCCCUACCCGGCCAAUCAGGCCGAUCCAGACAUACCAACUGAGGUUACCAGUUCUUAAAUGUAACUGCUAUAGAAGAAGAAAGCGCUGCUGUCAGAAACGCAGAAGGAUAGUUUGGGGAAAUAGCAUUGUUUGAUAAGAAUCAAAAGCCUUAUUGGAAAAUGUACGCUUAAGGUGUUUUUUAUUUGUCGCAUUUGUAAAGAGAGGAUUGUUUUUUAAUGCAUUAAGCGCUUUAGUGCCAGUAUAGCGCAGGGAGCUUAGCCCAUAGGUAGUUGUAUUAAAUUUUUGUGUAUGAAGUCCUCUAGCGGAUGAAAGACGAGUCGUCCGAUUGUGCAUAUUUUGAAAAUACAACUCUUUGAAAAAGCCAGUUUUAGCUGCUUGGUAGUCGAUUCAUAUCAAAAUCAUGCAUAAAGAGUAAUUGUUGAAGUUUAAGAAUAUCAUCUAACUUCAAGAUUUUUAAGUCUCUGAAAUGCUGUGAUGUGUGGUCGUUAUAUCCUGAAAAAGGGAUUGUUUGUAUAGCCUGUUUUUGAGUUUACGUUUUUGGUCAAGUUGAUCACCAGUUGCAUUUCUCCAUAAGAUGCAUCCAUAAGAUAGGUGUGAGUUAGAAAGACUGUUGUAAAAAUGCUUUAGAGUUGAACUAGUUACAAAAUGUCUGAUUAUUGUCAGCAAGCCAGUUGAAUUUGUUAUUGAUCAGAAUGCCUAAGUAUUUAAUACGAUUGGACUCAUGUAGAAUUUUGUUAUUCAAGCGGAGAGUGAAGUUGAAGUUCCUGUUUUCACUCAAAUUGUUCCUAAAGAGAAGAAAUUCCGUCUUCGCAACAUUAAGUGAAAGUCGAUUUGGGCAAAGCCAGUUAUACAGAGAUUCUAGUUCUUUAUUCAUUGACUUUCUAGGAGUUUUCAGACUUUUAUUGGAAAUAAUAAGAUUUGUGUCAUCCGCGAAAUGAUGUACAAGUGAAUUUGGAGUAGCAUAUCUUAAAUCAUUUAAAUAGAUUAGAAAUAAUAGUGGUCCUAGUAUAGAUCCUUGUGGUACACCACACGAUAUGGUCAUUAAACUUGAAUCGAUGCAGUUUAUUUGUACAUAUUGUUUUCUGUCAGUUGGGUAAGAUUCAGACCAUUGAUGGGCUGGUCCUCUUACUCCGUAAUGGUAAAGUUUGUCAAGUAAGAUUUUAUGAUUCACAGUUUUAAAAGCUUUUUGAAGAUCAAUAAAUACCCUGCAUACAUUUACUUUAUUAUCCAAGGAUCUCAAGGAUUUCACUAGAAUUCAGUAAGGUAGAAUUGGCAGAGUUCAGUAAAGUUUCUUAACUUCCUAACCUAUGCCCAUCGUACCCAUUCAAAUAAUGUUCCUUCUAAUCAGUUACCUUAAUAUCUUUUUCAUAAUGGCGAAACAGGGUACAAAGUUUCUCAGCGUGUCUAAAAAACCAGUUCUGUGGAGGAUAGUGAGAUUUAUUGUUUCCAAAUUUUCAGACAUACAUAUGUUAUGUACAUAUCAUUUAAAUCGCGUGUUAAGCAAAUGUUUAUAAAACAAACUUCAAUUUUUUGCAGAUAUAUACCUAAUUGAGGAGCCUUGAAAAGUAUAAAGGGGGGGGGGGAAAGAAAAACAUUGAGACCUUUUCAUGGCAUCGAAGAGAUCCUACAGCCACACUCCCAUUUUUCAUCAAAGAUUUCAUUUGGAUCUUUCGCGACACAACAAAUGUGGAACAGAAAGUUACAGGAAAAAACGUCUUACAGCUCUGUCAUCAGUACUACCAGUUUCUGAACUAUCACCAUCAAUGAUUACACAACAGUUGUAAUCAGCUCAACAUACAAUGGAUUUGCUUAUUGAACUUGGUUCCUUAGAUGUGUUCCCCAAAUCACCUUCUACCAUACCACCAUCUCUAACUGUACCAUUUCCUCCAGUGAUGGCCACACUAACGUGCCUAUUUUCAAUCAUGCUCAAUCGAUCGUUAUCAUCCCCAAUAUAAUUAUUUCCGUCACCCUUCACUUUUACAUUGCUGUUAUUAACAUGACCCCUAUCUACAUAAGUGUCAGAACCAUAACGCAGAUCUUCAUCAUCAUCCAUAUUUACAUUGCCUGAAGUCAAACUAUUUAAAAACAUCAGACAGUGAUCCAGCACUUUGUCCCUCUCUCUAGUAGACAUGAAUGAGCAUGGCAAGGCUGGAUCCCUUGUAUUAGGGCUCCUAAAAAGAAUGCUAUCUGGCCACCAAUGCUGGUUUCAAGCAUUGUGGUUGUGCCUCUCCACUUUUCUCUUUCGAGCUUUGUCAACUGCACAGGCAACAUCCAUUUACCAAUUAACUUGUAAGCAGUAUGGUUGGUAAUAUGCUUUUCGAUAUUUGGUGGCAAAUAGCCAUUCUCCAUAGGUUUGAUUCUGACGAAGUUUACCCAUUUUCCUCCACAACACGUUUCUUGUCUGGAAUAAAGAUAAACAUCUCAUUAUAAAAGUGCCAAAUUCUUUCAUGCACUACAAUUGUGCUAGGGGCCUAUGGACUCGUCGUCAGGGUCUUAUAAGCGCCAUAAUAAGCAGACAAACAACAGCCUUUGUUUUUUUGUAAGCCUUGGUUUAUUAGAAAGGUCAUCAAAAUACAUUGGAAAAAACACUGGUUUUCAUACAUGGUUCAUUUUGGUAAAUUUGGUUAAACAAACUACUUCAUAUAAAAAGUCGAAACAAGGUGGACAAUUUGUAAAAAAUGUUUCUUAAUUCUUAAUUCAAAGAGGAAUGAAUCUAAGUCUAAGAAAAUAUUUAAAAUAAAAAAAAUUUUAAAAAUUGCAAUCAAAUGCAAAUUUCAGAAAUAUAAAAUUAUAUUUAAUUACAGUAGACAAGUCUCCCAUUACAAGACAUGGCCAGCAAAAAUAUGUGUUCUUUUCUUCGUUGCCACACAUCCAUAGAAAAGUUCCAUAGAUCGACUAUACUUAAAAGUUACUUUUGGACGAGGUCUUCCAUCAGUCUUUAAUUCUAAAUGUUGCUUGUUGUGCUUGUCGAAAAUGUGAUGUGUUAGGCUAAUACAUUGAAUAUAUUUGCGAGCAGCUACUGGUUAGAUUCAUUGACCUAACCUGCUACCCAAUUAAGAUAAAUAAGUCGUGAAUUUGUAAAAUGUUGAAGGAUUUUUUUGUAAAAAAGUAGCACAUCAGAUAAUUAUCAAAGUUGCUGAAAAUAAUGACUUUUAGUUUAAACCAAGAGCACAGGUAAAAAAGGGAUUUCUGCCUUGAAAUGAAAAUAAUGAAGCGUGAAACUCAGAGUAGCAAUUUAGAACUCCCUGUUCUACACACCAAAUAGCGUGUACAGCUCUACCUAUAUGGCAUCAAGCACUUAAUGACAGACCAGUAAACAGUAAUUUUCAUCUUACUUUUCUAGUCAAAUACACAUCAGUUGCAAGCAUAUAGUUGCAAGCACAAGCAAUCUUACAUUAAGCCCAUUUCCAACAAGCAAUUUACUACAAGGCCCCCUUGGCAACCCCCCCCCCCAUCCCCCCACAACCAGUAUUCCUGACAUGAAGCCCUGAUGAAGCCUGAUAUGCUGGGGCAAAAUAUUAACCAUGGUUGAUGUCUACACUGGCAUAGUCACCUGAUAUUAUAGUCAAUUUUCUGUGUUUGUCUCUUGACAAUUUCAUAAUUGUAUUCUCUUCAUGCAAGCUCUACAAAUUAGCAAUGAGCUCAUUGUCAUCGAUUUCACAGUUACCUGAGGCCACUUGCAGGUGGUUUGUGUGUACUGGUGUGGGGUUGUCAGAGUUACCACCCUGUUGCCUAACUACACCAAAAGAUUCUGUAGGGGAUCUUGAUUUAGCUGCCUGGUUACAAGAAAAUUCCCUGAUGUUGUAACUUUUCCCAGAGAAAUAGUAUUGCCUUGAUUGUUAUACACCAGCAUUUAAUGAAUGGUAUUCUGUCCUCCCCAGUACCUUUAUUUAAAACCAUGAUUGACUUAAUAAAUGCCAAUCUACUUGUUAGCUUGUUAACGUGAGAUGAGUCCUUGAAGCUCAAUGCAUUACAGCAAUAAACAUUUUUAUCAAAUUUUGACAAUAGUUGUGCUGUUCCUAUAGCUUCUCCAGGAAGGGCUUGAAGACUUUUAUAUGUAUUUAAGGCGGCAGCUACAGUGCAGCUUAUUACUUGUGUUGCCAAUUUGACUCUCAUUUUAGUAAAUCCAUUAGGAUUCAAAUGCCUUUCUGUAAACUUUGGAGCCAUUCGCAUAGGAAGCUUAUGAUCUUUCUCAAAAAAUAACUUUAUAUGUCCCCAUUGAGCUACUUUGUCGUCAAAUUCAAAUGUAUAUUUCCUUAAAUUACUCCUUAUUGACAUGGCAAGACGGCGUGGAUAAAGAAUUGUUAGACAUCUCUUAUUAUUAAUUUUUAUAUAUGUUUUAUCUUCUGAUACAUACAUGGCAUUCAAGAAGCUCAACAAGUAUGAUCUUUGGUCAGAAACUACGAAAACAACAAUUAAAUCCAUGGAUCCUGUACCAUAUGUUCUAAAUCUAUAAAUCUAUGUUCUUGUAAGGUAUCUGAAACAGUAUUUGGACCCAGUCUAUUUAUACACGCAGGGCAGUAUAAAUUAGAAACUAAAGUUCUUUGUUUUUCAAUUUCUAUAUACUUUUUACCAUGUACAUUUCCACAUUUCAUGAGAAACCUCAAGCUGCAUCUGUCACAGGAUAAGGCUCUUGGUUGACAGCAACAGCUCUUGAACAAACACUGGACCUGGAUUUAUUUCCACAUCACUAGAUAAUAUUAGCAACACUGAAGAGUCUUUUAAUAACUGGAAUGUGUUUGACCCCUUUCUUUUGUUAUUGAAUUUGCGUGUUUUGCGAUGCUUGUACUUUGACCUUUGCUCAGGCCCAUUAUCUUCAUGAUGUCGAUUUAGGCCAGUGAUGAAUAUGGCUGCAGGAAAACGACACUUGUUGUGUUGUAACAAAAUUUAACUUGUCAAUGUGUCCUUGAUGCUGUUAUGCUUUCAGUAAGCUACCAAAAUUAUGCAGUAGCUCAAAUAUUGCAAAGCUAACAAACUUGAAGUAGCAAAGCCUGGAGGCAUCUACCAUAAUGUUGCAACGAAGUUGUGAUAUUGAUAUGGUCCUUCAUUACAUUAAAAAGGUGCAAAUGUCCCAAGAAUGGCAAAAAUCUGGCUGAUAUUUAUGAACAUGUCCGAAGUUGAACUAUUUGUUUCAAUUAAACGAACCUAUAACACUCUUCUAAUAUUAUGUUGGAGUUAUACAUGGUUAUACAGUGUUUUGAAAACAAUAUUCAACCAAGGCUACCCUUAUUUCAUCUGCCCUUGCAGAUUGUGUCUCUGAAGUUGUGUUUGAAGAUGCUGUUGAUGGCUCAUGUUGGUCACUGCACAGUGCCUCAUCAAAUUUAUCUCUUUUGUUCUCACAUACGUUGUGCAGAAUGCAGCAAGCUGUAACUAUUUGAUUCAAUUGUUCAAUGCUUGCUUCAUUUUGCUCUAAAGGCAUCUCCAUCUCCCCUUCAAUCUACCAAAUGCAUUUUCCACAACCAUUCUAGCUCUGCUCAGACGAUAGUUAAAAUGUAAUUGUUUCUGUGACAGUUUCCCAUUUUCUGAAAAUGGCUUUAUUACCUAGGAAAGCAAUGGGGAAGCUGCAUCUUCAUUUAUCUUUUUAAUUUUGUCCUUCUCUAAUAGAUUGCCACUUUGUCCCUUUCUGUAAAUAGCCGAAUUUGCAAAAACCCUGGCAUCAUGCACUUUGCCAGACCAUCCAAAUUUUAUGUUCAUAAAUUUAUACGACCCAACAACAACAGCUUGUAAAAUUAUUGAGUACCAUCCCUUUCUGUUAUAGUACUCUGCAUGCAAUUCUGCUGGGGCCUUUAUAGGGAUGUAUGAACCAUCAACAGCCCAAAACAUUGUGGAGAGCCCUAUAAGGUUUCGAAACCCAUGCUCAACUUUUUCAAGUUCUUCCAGCAGGAAUUUUUAUUUACUUAUCUACAAAUUGUGUAGACAAAACUUCGCAGAAUUAUUCAACUAUUGAUCCUACACUUCAUGUAAAAAUGGCAAAAAGAUGGCCGAUAGUUUGAUAGUCUGCAUUGGUUGCCAAUCCAAGCAGAGAGACAGCAACUCUUUUCUCCGCAGAAAUGGCUUUUUUAGCUUUGUGUCCUCCCUAGAAACGAAUGGUGACAAUUCUUCACACAACAACUUCAUGUUUUUUUGACAUGCGGAAAUUUGCAUGCCAAUCAUAUGCCUCAAAAUGAUGCAAGACAAUUGAGUCCCACCAGUUUUCACUUUGGGUUUUACACCAGUAUUUCCUUUCCACGUCUGCUGGUUGAAUGUGAUACCUAAAGUGAUACUUUGUUUCAGACAUACUUCAAAUUUUUUCCACCUCUGUGAUUUGAAUCUCUAAUACGCUCAAAUCCAUUUGAGAGAUGCAGCAAAUAUUUUGUUAAAUCUUGACCGCCAUGCCAUUUUAUAUUUCUUGCAAAUAAACUGCAUUGCCAGAAAAAAACAUUUUAGACUAAAUACAAUAAUGCGACAACUUCCAUCUUGAUUGUGUUUGUGGAAAAUUUGUUUUGUUGUCGUUUUUUUGUUGUUGUUGUAAUUUAACUGCGCAUGCGUAGCAUCAGCUAACCUUGGUUCGCCCUGACUUUGUGUCCACAUUACAAAACAUGAAAAUCAAGUUUGGGCAAAACAGGGUUCGCCCUAGAUUAAAUUCAAAAUGCAUGAGGAAGUAGCAACUGAAAAAUACAAAGAGCUAUCAGGAAACAAAGUUGAGCCAGCUGGCCUUUUCAUGUUUCCUUGUGGAUAUUUGGGGUGUAGCCCAGAUGCGAUCAUUUAUGAGGAGGCUACAAACACAAAACAAAUUUUGGAAAUCGAAUGUCUAUGGGCAUACAGAAAUUCCAGUAUGGAUGAGAUAAUUCAGCCUGAGCUGAAAGGUAGAAGUGGAGUCAAAAGCUUUUACCGUGCAGCAAAAAGGAGCUUAAUAGAAGACAUUAAUAUUGGCAUAAAGGACAAGGAGAAAUGGUAGCAGCUUGUGUUUCAUGGGCACAUUUUGUGGUUUGGACAGUUGUGGACUGUAGAAUUUUUUCAAGUGAAAAAGGAUCCUUUAUGGGAAAACACUUUUAUGCCAUUAUUGUCAGAUUUUUAUCUCAAAGAAUUGCCCCUUCUCCUGUUAUGUACAAGAAGUUUGAGAUUGUUUAACAGAGCCGGAUUUAACCCUUAUUUUUGGAUGAAUUGGGGAAACAAUUUAGAUGAUUCUAAUGAUUAAAUAAUUCAAUAAGUAAUACAAUUUCAGAAUGCCACAAAAUGGCAGAACCAUAUUUUUUUAGUUAAAACACAUUUUGAUAUGAUACUCAUUAGAUUGAAAAUAGAACAGAACGAUACAAAAACAUGGAUCGCUGACAGUUCCUCUUUUGGAAAAAACGUAUACUGGACAAAAGUUGGAGAAGCACAACUAACAGGUAUUGUGUAAAGCUAGUUGUUUUACCACUUAAAAAUUAUGCUCUCUGUCUCAUUAUUUGCAUGUUCUGCUGGUUCAUUUGCAAUAAAAAUUGCUGUUGCUGUGCUUGCAUAUUUGCCAUGAACUGUUGCUGUUGCCUGACCAACUCUUCUGCUUUUAAUUUCAUUCCCUUUUCUACUUGCUCCUUCUUUAUCAGCAUUAAGCCCCCCUCCCCUGGAGGAUUUUCCACAGCAUCACCAGACCUUUUUUGUGAGUGCUUUUUCAAUUCCUUCCUUUUCCUUGUCUUAUCCAAACACUCUGUUGCUUUGUUCCUUGUGUCCAAUGCUUUUUCCUCAUUUUCGUUCUCCUUUUCUUUCUCCGUGGCCUCUUCCCAGCCAAUUUUUACUUCUUCCAUUCUUUGGUUGAUGUCGGUUAGGUCCCUAUACAUUUCGUCAAAGUCUUCUGCUUGAACUCCAGAGACUCUUGUUUUCUCUUUCCCGUUUUUCUUAAAUUUUUCUAUCAGUUUGAAGAACCUAUCAUUAACAGUUCUAACUGGAACUCGAAAUUUGGUCCUUCCAAUUGAUUUAAAUUCUUCACUAUCAAUUUUCAAUCUUGCCCUCGCUCCUUGGAUUGGGGCUUAUAAAGAUAGGACUCAGCAAGGAGUAGCUCACAAAUAAAGCAUUGAUCGUGCUGGACUUUCCAAAUAAGGGCUCUCUUUGGUAACAUUUUAACUUAAAUUCUUACCUAUUCUUCGUUCAAAUGAAUAUAUAUUUAGCAGCCAUUUAAGAUGGUUACCACUGUUUUGUCCAAUAACAUUUAUGGUCUAUUCUCGAUGCCAGUAUAUCAAAACUCUCAAGGAUAAAGAAAGUUCUGAAAAAAGACGACGACUUCAAAGAAUCUGGACAAGACCUGGUAGGACUAGUGCAUGGUGGGACAUCUUCGUCAAAGAUCUUGUAGUUCCUGAAGAAUGAAAUGAGAAUUUUCGUAUGUCUAAAGAAAGUUUCUUCCUUUUAUGUACAGAACUGUAGCCAUUCCUAUCGAAGCAGACAACCCAUUUACAAACAUCAAUAUCUGUCGAGAAACGGCUAGCAGUAACAAGGAUAAAAAAUGUUUUCAGCCAAUCAGAUUAUUUGGUUACAUACGUCACGAGCCAAUUAAAACAUUGACUUUUGCUUCUCCUAUACAAAGCAAUGGAGAAAAACAGCCUUUACAGAAAUUUAACACUUUAAUCGAAAUUUGUCAUUUCUCAAGAACUUUCUACAAUUCUAAAUAGACAAAAGGCAUAUCUAAAACUUUGUUGUCCCCAUUUUUGAAAUAAUUUCCGAGACCCGAGAAAAGCUACAAAAUGUUUGACCAUUUUUUAGCCGGACGGAUAGGGCCCUUUUUCUUCUUCCAAAGAUCGGUUUCAUGGCAAAGCGAGCCUUCACCUUAAAUUUUGCUUACCUAUUAUGCUCAAUUGACACCAGAAGAGUAGUCUAGUUCCUAUCUCGUCUUUCUAUGUUACUUUUGACUUUUGAGGACGGUUUUUCAAAUUCAUAUUAUAUCACAGACAAUUUUAAUGUUUUAAUGUUGAUGCUGCCUGGCCCUUCGCCACAUCUAGAUUAGUUCCACUUAACCCACCCUCACUCAAAAUAUGCUAACAUGGAAAUCAUUAAACACCUUACUAACUAUAUCAACUUAAAUAAAAAUCUUGCAAGUAUUGAGUGCAUCUUCUUUAAACGUUCCACAUAUUUGCUGCGAAUGAACAGGUUUCAUUUUGUUAUGCUGCCAAUAAAUCAAUAUACAAUAUACUCAGGGGAACCUCCUCCACCAACCUUGGCAUGGUUUGGAGCUCCGUUAGUAUUAGGUGAUUUGGCCAAAAAAAUUUUUAGAUGAUGCUAAAAUAAAAAGUUUGGCAAUAACAAUAACCCAAAACACUCUUUAUUUUGUUGCGGAGGGGGAUAAACAAAAUACAGUGGGUCAUUUGGCUUUUCCACUCGCGGUCAACCAAUCAGCCGAUUUUAAUCAUCGCUUCCCAGGUUUAGGCAGGAACUCUAGUGCAGGAAAAUGCAAGUCUAUAAAUGUAUACAGAAAAGUCCUUCUUUUUACUCGUUGCAAAAUUCCGAAAUUUAAAAAUGUGUGCAAAAACACUUUACACAAAGAAUGGAGCGAAAAAAGGGAUAAUUCAAAAUGUAUACAUUUGUGUACAAAAGACUUAAAAUCGAUCAUUGCAGAGACAAAUAUAGAUCAUAUCUCUAUAUACCGUAUAUCUCUCAUAGCUGCUGUAACUGUUAAAGUGUUUGCCUAAAAAAAGAGGAGUUCACAAGACACCUGAGCAGUGAUUUACAGAUUUCAUUGAAAGAAAGGGUAAGCAGAUGAUCUUAGCUUAAUGUAAUUUUAAAAAAAGUUAAUUAAAUAUUAUUUUAAUUGCAAAGUUUCAGAAUAAGCUAACACAAUUGUUUGCUAGAUAAUUACUUGUAUAUCUAUACCUUACACUUUCAAGAAAAUUUGUUUAAGAAGUUUUUUGAAAUUUCAAGGACUUUGAUAUAUUUUGAUUUAUCAAAAUGUUUCAAUAAAGGCUUUUGGUAUGCUUUGUUCAAAUUGUGUAAAACUUAAUAACGUUUAAUAACUAAAAUUAAUUAAAAAAUAACCUUAUUUGCAGAUCGACAAGAUUCUGGAAAAACAUGACUUUGACCAAGCUAAUUCCCCAGAAUUAACUCCUGAUAAUGAAAUGGAAUGGGAAUCCUCUGAAAUGUCAACCCAAGGUUUUAGCCAAUAGAAUGACUCAACCACAUUGAUAUUGAGCUCUCCUAGCCAGCAACUAAUUCUCUCGCAAGAAACAGAUUCUCUGAUCCCAAGUGUAGAUACAAAAGAUAAAGCUUGCCAAACAGAGAGUUCCAUGAGUGAUCCUGUUAUAAUUGACAAGGCAGAAUAUGGGGAACUCUUCUUUAAAGCAUCUAAGUCAUUUAACCUUAAAAAAGAAGUAACAAAAGUAGAAGAAAAAUGCUUUGCACUUUAUGGAGAUGAGGGAAGUCCUGAAAUGGACCCAUAAAAAAUUGAAAAAAAUUGUCAAGAUACAGAUGCUUCAAAUAUUUUUCCCUACAUCUACAAUUCCCUACACGCUUUGAGUGUAGAGAGUAUGUCAGAAAAUCGACUUAUGCUGAACACAAUACGCACAAUGGUAAUUAUUUAUGUAAUGACUUUUGGACAGUCACAAAAGUCAAAUUGGUUUCAGGUAGCUCUAUCAAGAAAAUUGUCGCAAUAUGGCAUAAGUGAAUGUGGAUUGACUGCUUUAAGAAAUAUAGGAAUAGCAGCAUACCCAUGGACUACAAAAAAUGAAACAGGUUCAGCGGCAUCGAAUCAUCUUCAACAAGUGCAAAGCUUUUUCCAAGAAGCAACGGAUAAAGGGCACUUCAUUAUGAUGUUCAUUGAUGACUAUCAUAAUAUUUAUACCAAGCAUCAUCCAAAUGAGAAGCAGCGGUCGGAAUCAGUUCACAUGGCCACCUUGAUGGUAAAAGUAUUUGAAAAAAAGGCUGUUCCACAGGAGGGAAAUGAACCACCACUUAGCGAGAAUCCUGCUGAUAUCAAUAUUCUUCAUCAGGUGAUCAACCAAAACAUUUCAACUUUGUCAAAAUCAUAUGCUCAAGAAAUGCCUGACAGGGUACUUGCCAAAUAUUUUGACCAAACAUCUGAAAGACAGAUUAUUAGUGCAUGUGAAUCAACAAACAGAAAUUAGGAAAAGGAGGUCAGAGGAAAACACAAAAUUGGUGGGCAGAAUAGAGAUUAAUUUAAAGUCAUUUAAAGUUCUUGUGUCUGUUAGUUAAACAGCGUUUGAACUGUAAUGCGUAAAGAACAUUAAUACAGUUGCAGUCCAGUCUUUGUUUUUUGUCGUAGUGUUUGUCAGUGUUAGUAAAGUUAAAAGAAGUAGUACUGUCUGUGAUGUGUUGGCAUGUUCUGCAGUUACGUCUCGAGUGGCAUUUGUAAGUGCCUCUAAGGUUACGUUGUUUUGUGGUUUUCAGGCAGUCCUGUCUGGUUUUUUUUAUAACUAUUGCCCUCUUGUUUUAAGCAUCUACUCUAUUAUUAUUGCAUUCAAAAAAUACUACACAGAGCCUUACUUUCAAUCUUUAAAACAUUCUUUGCUGCUAGAUCAUGCUUUCUGUCUUUAUAAGAAGACACUAUGAUGAAGCAUUGUUGAUUCUCCUCACAACAUAUGAGUACUUGAAGAUAAUGAAUAUUCCUCUUUUUCAUGUCAUCUCAAAGUUUUUGGUUGCCUUUGAUGAAUAUUCAGUUAAAAAUUUUAAUUCAAUACUAAGAGGAAGGACAAAUGUUACAGACAAUGCUGCCCAGAUUUGACGUCAAGCAAGGGAAAUUGAUCCACGCUUUCGCCACCAUGGAGAUACAACUUCUGCCCAGGCAAAGUACAAAGAUUAAAUAUCAAGGCAGCUGAAUUUCUCGUGAAAAAGUUCAAAACACUUUUAACAAGCCCAUCCAGAGCAAGCAGGCUCCAAAGAACUCCAAAUCAAACGAAAAAUGUCACAAAGUGGUCACUGCCAAAUUUGUUUUGAGAAACUAUUGUCACAAACAAAGUCUUGCCUUUUGGAUUAUCAUCUCUGGAACAUCCUUCUCCUGAACAGUAAGUGUUAGAAAUUCAUUUUAUGCAUUUAUUAGCUCGAUUUUUAUCACGAAUGAAAACUUGGUCUUGUGAACAUUGGAAACCUUCAACACGAAAAUUGAAUAUUCAUAAUAUAUUAUGAAUACUUACAUUCCCUUUCAGAUAUAUUCAAAGAAAUCUGUUUAUGGCAGCUAGAAGAAAGUUUUGUGCUACAGGCAUUUUUCAUCAGAAUUAAGAUAUCAAUUAUAGGAUGUUGCAAGCUGUAUAUAUGUUUAUAUGUAUGUAUGCGUGUAUAAAUCAUGUCGAACUAACAGACUUCGAAAUACCUUCUUUUCUAGAAAAUGUGACAAAAAGAAUUGCUCAUUGGUGAGCCCUUUGUGGCUAUAUUUACCUGUGGACAUUCGUUUCAUUGCCAGUGCAACCUUCCAAACGUCAGUGAGUGUCCUGUAUGGAAAGAUGCUCUAAAGAAUAAAAUUGAUUUGAUGGCAAAACGAGCAAACAGUGCUGUUUUCCGCCCUCAUGAUGUUGAUGAAGCCGGAGACAACAAUGUUAUUACGGAUGACAAUGUGUCUGACUUCAAAGGAGAGCCUGAAGACCAACCUUCUGAUGAUGAUGUUAAGAUGGACGAUACCCGUUACACAGAUAGAGCCCUUCCAAACCAUGCUGAGGUUAGCAGAGAAGGUUCCCCCGAGUUUUUGCAGCAAAUAUGUGGAACGUUUUAAGAUUAAUAAUUGCAAGAUUUUUAUUUAAGUUAAUAUAGUUAGUAAGGUAUUUAAUGAUUUCCAUGUUAGCAUAUUUUGAGUGAGGGUGGGUUAAGUGGAACUAAUCUAAAUGUGGCGAAGGGCCAGGCAGGAUCAACAUUAACCCUAUCCAAACAAGGCUUUUUGAAACUUUCGGGAGACUAGGGGGGGGGCACGUUGUAAUUUCUUUUUUCCUAUAGCUAGGACAAUGAACUUUGUUUGGAUGGUACUCUUAUCUAUUCUCCACAUUUUAGUACUAUUGUACUCAAUUUUUAAUUCACGUGGUUUAACGAUGACGUCAUCAUAAUGGUGGCCGGGUGGAGCAAAAAUUUAGAAAAUUUUAGAAAAUCUUGAAAUGUUCAUAAAUUCCAAAGCAUCAGGCUAAGAUAUCUAAAAUAAGCAAAUUUAAUGCAUUUUCUAAUAGAAACAAGAAGUUAUUUCUCGAAAUUAUUAACGUUCCAACACAAGCACUCAACAUAUUUUGUAUUUGGCUAUAGUUCUUUCUAUAUAACUAAAUGAUCGAUACAACCAAAUAUCAUGUUCAAGUUAAUUUUAAAUGCCUUAGGAGACAAAUUAAUCUAAACUGCCUUGGCUCAUACCAUCAACUUGCAGUUUUAUUAAUGUAAUACCUAUAAAUAUUUCAACAAAUGUGUGCGCAUGCGCAGCAGAAAAAUCAUAGAAAACGAUGUUGAAUUUGUUUUCUGGUCAGAAUCAUAAAAAGAGCACAAAUUAAUGCCUAGAUACUAAUUUUCAUCAAUAUAUCUACUUUUGUUGCGAAUCUGUGGCAGAUUAAACUUUUUUUUGCUUGACUAGUUUUGAAAACGCUCCUACCCACCCCCCUGAUUAACAAAAAAAAUUAUCUUUUUAUAUGAGCAUGUGUCAGACAGGUUAAAACUAAAAGGCAGGUCGUCUGAGUGGUAUUGCUUAGAAACUCCUGAAAUUAUGAAAGAAAAGCCAACUAGGGGUGCACUUUGUGCCCCCCCCCCUAGUCUGGAUAGGGUUAAAACAUUAACAUUGGCUGUGAUAUAAUAUGAAUUUGAAAAAACAACCCUCAAAAGUCAAAAGUAAAAUAGAAAGACAAGAUAGGAAUCAGACUACUCUUUUGCUGUCAAUUAAACAUAAUAGGUAAACAAAAUUGAAGGUGAAGGCUCGCUUUACCAUGAAACUGAUCUUUGGAAGUAGAAAAAGGGCUUUAACUCCCUCGUGAGGUAUGUAAACAAACAAUCUGAUUUGCUGAAAACAUUUUUCAAUCUUGUUGCUAGCAGUGACAGUGACAUUACCUAGCAGACGAAGGCAGAUACUGGAAAGUAGCCGAUGCUUUUGAGAUUUCAAAAGCUUCAGUUUCUCUGAUAGUAAGAGAAGUUUGUACCUUGAUUUCAACAAUUCUAGGACCUAAAUACAUUAAGGUGCCAACCACUGAGGAAAAGGUUCUCACAGCUGUAGACAAAUUUUGUUUGGGGGCAAUUGAUGGAACACACAUUUUUAUUAAACAGCCAAAAGACCACUCAACUGGUUACAUGAAUCGCAAAACAAAUACUAUUUUAAUGUACAGGCUGUUUGCAACCACAACUACAUGUUCACAGAUGUGAAUGUUAAAUUGCCUGGAACUGAUAGUUGCCAAUUCCAGCAUCAACAAGAAAUUAAGGUCUGGUGUCAUUCCUCAUUGUCCAAGUAGAAUUCUAGACUGCUUAUCCUCUUCUUCCAUAUAUCAUGAAAGAGUUACAAUGAUGGUUGCAAUGAUGGAGAGAUAUUCUUCACCUGGCGACUUUCCUCUGUUCAUAUUGUCAUAGAGUGUGCCUUUCCCGCAUAAUGUUGCUCUCCAGCAACAAAGCUUUUAUUGUAGAUUUUGACUUGGUCAACCUGUUGUAAUAUUUCGCAGAGGCAGGCAAUAUUGUCUGUUGUUGUUGGAUACAAAUGCAUCAGUCCAUGAAGUAACUGCAUUCUAAAAAAAAUUGGCCUAAGUGCAUAAAUGUCUCAAAGCAAUGCUGCCAACUUCUGCGAUUUCUGAUUUCCUGGUGAGUAACAUUUGAUCAUUGAAAAAAUUUAUUUCACCUCUCGUUAUUUAUGCUCUAUUGAUAAGUAGUAUUAUUUUGUUAUAUUAAAACAUUCAAUAUGUUCUGUGACCCAUUUAUUAGUUGUUACUCCAGAGCAACAUGCAGCAGGAGACUAUUGUUUUGACAACGUGAGAACACGGAAGUAAAUAAAACAAUGCCUUAAAAUGAAGUUUGAGACUCUUUUGCUACAUUGUUGCUGCACAUACAAAUCAAUUUCCAGUCCAUCAGUCCAUUUCCUUCUUUCUGUAUAUUGAAUAGACAUUGAUUGAGUAUCAUUUGGAAGAGAAGUGGUAUUUAUUCCAUAUUAUUUUGAUGUAAUUUAUACAGGUAUGGCACAAAGUAGACCAAUUUCAACAUCCUCGUUUUAUGGCAGCAGAUGGGACAGAAUCAGAAUUGGUACUAAUGGAGUUGAAAGAGAGACACAGAACGUUCAGAUAGUGGUGCCAGAGCUUUCCGGUAGUGAGGUAGAAGACAAUGUGAGGAAAAUGAAGUACAAAGUUUCAAGAUAGCUUUUUCAAGAUAGUGAGAGAGUUGAAUGGGAUUCUGAUAUAGAAGAAAUUCUGAUAUAGAAGAAAUUCCAACAAACGCAGAUGAUGCAGACUUUAUUGCAGAUGGCAUGGAUAGCAUGGAUGAAAGUGAAGCUAAUGCAACUACGCUUGAAGAGACAACAAAGCCAAAAGAUGGUUCUACCAAAACCAAAAUGAAUCUGAUUGAAGAUCCUCCACAACGAUGGAGAAGGAAACUUCCAGCCAAAGUAAACAAUGAAUUUGUAGGAGAGCCCUUUCCGGAUCCACCAAAGAAAGAAAUGAGCCCGCUAGAGUACUUCAAACUGUUCUUUGAUGAUAAAUUGAUUAGCCACAUUGCACAUCAGAGCAAUUUAUAUGGUACUCAAACAGCUGGAAAAUCCCAGAGUACCAACAGCAAUGAAAUUUAGCAGUAUAUCGGUAUACUUUUAAUGAUGGGAAUAAUCAAGUUACCUCAGUACAGAAUAUAUUGGGGAAAUGCCACCAGGUUUCCAAUGAUUGCUGCAGCAAUGGGCGUAAAUUGCUUUGAUAAAGUGAAACGUUUCUUUCACUGGAACGAUAAUGAUGAAAUGCUUCCAAAAGGACAUCCAAAGCACGACAAGCUUCAUAAAGUGAAACCUGUGAUUGAAUCUGUCCUGCGAAAUUGCAAAAAUGUUCCACCAGAAAAGAGACAUUCUGUCGAUGAACAGAUAAUUCCCACCAAAAGCAGAUCAGGACUAAAACAGUACCUGCCUAAGAAACCACACAAAUGGGGGAUAAAGAUCUGGGCCCGAUGUGGAGUCAGUGGAAUUGUUUAUGAUUUCCAGGUGUACACAGGUGCUGGCUCCGGUGCAAAUGAUUACGAUAAUGCCCCAAACCUAGGAGUGGGGGGAAAUGUUGUAAAACAUCUAACAUCCUCUCUACCUUGCCAUGUUGGAUACAAAGUUUACUUUGACAACUACUUCUCUUCUGUCAAUCUUUUGAAUUACUUAAAAACACAGGGCAUCUGGGCUAUAGGCACAAUGAGGGCUGAUAGGCUGAAAGGAGCAGGGAGAUUGCUGCAAGACUAGAAAAGCUUGGAGAAGAAAGGGGGCAGGGGAUCUAGUGAUUGGUGAGUUGAUGCUAACACCAAUAUUACUAUUGUACGUUGGCUUGAUAACUAUAUUACUAUUGUACGUUGGUGUUGUGCAACUGAUUUCUAACCAUAUUGGAAUUGCUGAUGGCACUCCAGCACGGCGAUGGUCUAUGAAAGAGAAGAUGUUCAUUGAUAUUCCAAGGCCACUGAUUGUCGAGGAAUACAAUAUGCAUAUGGGUGGUGUAGAUCUUUGCAAUAUGUUGAUGGCCCUGUAUCGUAUAGAACUGCGGUCAACCAAGUAUUAUAUGCAUAUUGUAUACUAUUGUAUCAGUCUUUCAGUAGUGAAUGGGUGGCUUACAAAACACUGCUUACAAAAUGGUGUAUGUGUUAAGAACCAAUUUACACUCCUCCAGUUUCAAACUGCAGUUGCCACAUCUUUACUGGUGGCAGGCAAAGAAACACAAUCUCCCCAUGGACAGCCAUCAAUCACACCACCUCCAAAAAAAAGAUUGAAAAGUCAUGCCACACCAACUUUUUCGGAUGAUGUCAGACAUGAUCAGAUAGGGCACAUGCCAGAUUUUGCAGACAAGUAACAGCGCUGUCGCCACUGCCCGAAUGGGUAUUCAUUUGUCCAGUGCUUGAAAUGCAGAGUGCAGUUGUGCUUUGUAAAAGGGAAAAACUGUUUUAAGGAUUUUCAAUCUUCGUAGAUUGGAAAAGAGAACUUGAAACUGCAAACAUAAAAAGUUCGAACAUUUGAUGUGAAGAUUUUGAUAUUGGACUAAAAUUUUAUUCUUAUCACACUGUAGAUUGCUGAAAUGAACUGCUGCCUUUAUAAUUUUGAAAUCGCUUCGGAGAAAUCAUUUCAGAGUUAUUUUGAUUGUUUUUAAACCUUUGGAAAUUUUUACCCUUGCUGCAUAAUGUUGCUCAGGAGCAACAGUCUCGAAUGACGUCAAGAUUAAAAUAGAUUUUAACUUUUUUUUGUGUAAUAUGGAAGUAAGGUGUGAAAUAAACAUAAUUCAAUGACUAAAACUUUUUUUCUCCAUAUAAACAAAAUUAAUGGAGGAAAGGGCUAAAGAGAUAUGAAAGAGAUAUGGAGACAAUGUUUGGAAAGGAGAUCGAAUCUGUUACUUUGAUUGUUUCAGCGAAGGUGUCAGGUAGCAGGUCAUAUGGUUUGUUUGUCCACAGAGACUCCCAGUUGUCAACUUCAUGAGAAAUGUUUGAGCUUUCUGUAAGAUUGCCGGUAUGCUGGCACCAAAAAUGUUCAAAAUCUUUCUUUCACUUUUUGUCAAGGCGCUGAAACGUCACUUUCUUUUUUAGCUUGAUGCAUGAUGAUUGCACGGUUUCACAAUACUGUCCGUCCUCUUUCAUUUGUAGGGACUCCGAGUUAUAAUAAGAAGUUUCUACCUCUUCAUGAGAUCAGAAGUUUCUCGACCAAUUAAUUGGUUUUCACUGUACUCAGAUUUCAUAAUUGCUGGCACAAUGGACAGACCAUUCAACGCAAUACAGUUUUCUGCUGAAAAUCGCAACAAUAAUGCUUCAAGCAGAAGGUCUAAGAAAGGAAUAGACAUGUUUAUUUUAUAAUAAGAGGAAACGUCAGAAGAUGGGACAUUAUUCUGUACCUCUGUGAAUUGCAGGUUCUGUAGACCAUGAUAGGAGAUUCUACUCUAUUUGCUAUAUCACAUGCGGUCUAAAACCAUUGUUGAUGGUAAAUAUCAAUAUUAUCUCUUCCUGUUUGUAAAGAUCUUGUCAUUGUUUUUACCUUUUAAAAUAUCAACUUGUACACCUUUAAGCUGCUCCGUAGCUGUAUGUGUAUACCCAAGGCAAUUUCUCACAAUGAUCAGGGUUAUUAAAAAAUUAAAAUUAAAGUCCAAAAAGAGAAUGCUUCACCAGCACAUGUCCUCCAUUUCCCAUCCUUGUUACUACCAAUGACAAACAUUGUUUCUACUUGCCAAGCCAUCAAUCUGCAAACAGAAGGUGGAUACAUUGUGUGGUGAACAUCCAAUAACUUAGUGUAUUUGCAGCCUGGGUUGAAUUUCUUUAAAUUUUUCUCUAACUGCUGUUGUCGCUUAGGAGAAUACCUGAAAAACGAAAGGAAAGUCUUUGCAAAGAAGGGUUUCAAAACCAGAAAUUUGGCCAGACAUUACAGAAGCACCAUCAUAGAUCUGCGUAAUUAAUUUUUCCUUCAUUGAUUUGCCAUAUUUCUGCGAAAUUUCUUCAAUAAUAAUACUAAUGGCAGAUGCGGAUCUGUUGGAACUAACAUCACAAAACUUUAAAAACCUUUCAACAAUCUCACCUUUCUUGUCAAAACGAACAAUGGCACUGAGUUGUUCCUUUGUACAUACAUCUGUUGUUUCAUCAACAUGGAUGCAUAAAACGAAGACUGAGAAAUCUCCUUAUCAAUUUGAUCUUGAAUCACAGGAUCUAUGUAUUCAAUCAGAUCAUUUUGAGUAUCAGCUGAAACACCUGUAAAAACUCAAAUAUUGCCUUUUUUCUUCAUUAGCUAGUUUUCCACAUAGGCGACAUUCAAAAACCGACUCAAAUUUUGCAAAACAUUACAGAAGCUUUCUGUUAUUGCCUUUAUUCAAGCUAGUGUCGGAUUCAUCAUGUACCCUGAAAGAUAACUCUUGCUUACCUAAAAAGAACUGUUUGAUGAGAAUUUUCAGUAUCUCCCUGUUCUGUCGGACAUCUUCAUUGUGGCGAUCUACCUCCUCUCACCUUGCUUCUGAAUUUCUUCAUGUUCUCUUUAACUGCUGUUGUUUCUUAGGAGUGUAUUUGAAAACUUAGAUAUCUUUUUGACUCGAUCCUUCGUGUUAGUGACAUUUUCGUUUUCAAAUGCAGCAGAAAUGGACAAGUUGAGCCUGUGAGAUGAACCAUGGGCAAACAGUGCCAAAGUAUUCAGGUUCAUAAUAAGGGCAGCUACACCAAAGUAUUUACUAGCCAUGUUACCACCUACAUCAUAAGACUGACCAUACCUUUUUUCAAUAUCAAGAUUCAAUUCAUUUACCAAACAGUCAAUGAUUUUUUGCUUCCAUAUGGUUUUUCAAAAUUUUAUCACCGUAAUAAUUGCCUGACACCAUGUUUGUUUUGACACAGAAUAGAGUGGUAAAGUAAAUACGUCACGUUGCCUCCGUAACCAAAUUUCUGUUCUAAACAAACCAAGAAAUAUGGCGUUUUUUAUUACCUCUCUGUGUAUAUUCUUUGAAGGCGAAACAAAAUGCUGAGGAGUGGCUUCCUAUAUAAAAAUGGCGUUUCCCAUCAAAAAGAAAGGUGUGGCCAAAAACUCUGUAAUUUUACAUGGAAAAAAUUAAUACCAAUCUGUCAGCACUACGAACUUCCUCUGAUGUCUUCCAUUCCCCAUCCUUGUUGCUGCCAAUUGAAGAACAUUAUUUCUGCAAUUGCUUCAUACAGGCAAAAUCCACCUUGUAUGGCAAACAUCCAAUAACUUUACGUAUUUGCAGCCCGGGUUGAAUUUCUUUAUGUUCUCCUCUAACAGCUGUUGUUUCUUAAAAGUAUAUUUGAAAAACGUAGAUGUCUGUUCGACACGAUCCUUCGUGUUACUGACAUUCUGGUUUUUAAAUUCAGCAGCUAUGCACAAGUUGAGUUUGUGAGAUGCACAGUGGGUAAACAGUGCCAAAGGAUUCAGAUUCAUGAUAUGGACACCAGAGUAUUUUCCAGCCAUAAUAUCGGCUCCAUCAUAGCACAAACCAUGGCAAUUUUCAACAUCAAUUCAUUUACCAAACAGUCAAUGAUCUUAUCUUUAAGGGCUUCUCCUGAUACACCUUCAUAGCAAUGAAUGAACUUGAUGAAUCUUUCUUGGAUAAUAUUACUACCAUCAACAUAUCUGACAACAAGAGGCAUUUGCUUCUUAUUGGAACAGUCAGUGACUUGUCAGCAAGAAUCGAAAAUAAUUUAGACCAUUUCAUUUCUGCAAUGAUCCCAUUAUUCAUUACUGCAGCAGCACAAGAAAUGAUUUCAUUCUGAAUAGUUUUCAAUCGGCUCUUUAAGAACUGUAUCGCCACUAUCAAUUCUAAGGUUGAUUAAAGCUUGGAAAUUUUCAUUGUCCUCCUUGUCAUAAUAUUUCAAGUCAUUCCUAUGUCCUCGGAAUGGUACAUUUUGCCUUGCAAGAAGAAAAGCAAUUUUUAUAAGAGAAGCAAGCUUCAUCCUAUUUUGGGUGAUUCUAUUAUCGAUAAUUUUAUUCUGAAUUGUUUCUAUUGAUUUAAUUUUGUUCUGUCUUACAUUAAGAAUGGUUGCCAGCGAUGUUUUAUGAAAAUCUGACUUGCUGUGCAUUUUGAAUCUUGAAACUGCACAUGAACAAUCUUUAAAGGAACUUGUCACCAGCCUGUCUACUUUUGAUGAAUUUAUACCAAUCCUUCUUCCAACAAUGACACAAGGUUAACAAAAGGACCCAUAAAGAAAUUUGGAAUAUUGCAACCAGGGAUAUUCAUUAAGCCACAAAGAAAUGAAUAUUCGCUUUUUGCCAUAUAUUGGCUGUGUAGGAAAGUUAAAGUCACCAUCUGGCCUCCAAACCUUUUGGCAAAUUUCAUAUUUUUCGCUAUUUGUAAAAGAUGCUUUUUUACUAUUAAAGGGUCCAAUAUCAUGAUCAGUUGUAAUACCAUUUUUUGGUGAAAUAUUCUGCUCAGAACAAGAAACAGGGGAUGCAGCCUCCUCUUGAACAAUGAUUUCCAGUUCUGGAGAUUGUUUUGAAGACGAAGGAAAAUAAAUUCUAGAUUGCUUCAAAUGAGAAACUGAAGAAGAUGCAGGGAACUGAUCUUUAGAUGACUUCUGAUGCUGGAGCUGUAGCAGAAAUGGUCUCUUGCUUCACUUUGACAAAUAAUUGCUCUUGCCGAAUGAAAGAUGGAUCACCAAAUGAUUGUCCUGAACAGUUGAUUGACAUCCUUCUUAGAACCCCCCAAGCAUGGCCAUAACAAAUGAAUAUGGGAACUGUUAUCAUCUGGUAUUUUAUGAGGCUUCUUACCUUUGUGGUAGACCAAGAAGUGACUUAUGAUGUUAACAGAAGCACUUGUGUGGAUCAGCCAUCCAGCUAGUGGCCUUGAUAGAAGACAAUGCACGCUGCAACUUUGCAUACAAUCUACAGAACUGCAGAAUAUUCCUCCUGUAGUCAUUUUUCAGGGUAAAAACGAUGUUAAGCCAUCUAAAUUUCAGUCAUAUGACAAACGUGUUUACAUAUCUUGACAGGAUAAUGGGUGGAUGGAUGGUGCUGUUACCAACCAAUGGGUAAAUAAUAUUGCACCAGCUAUAGACAAAAGCCAAUGAAAUGUUCUUUUUCUUGACAAUGUGGCCUGCCAGUGCACCAAAGACUUUCAUAGCAUUUGUAGGGAAGAAGCUAACACUAAUAUAUAUCCACUCCGUCCUUCAGUCACUGACAAAUUACAACCAGUGGAUGCAGGAUAGGGUUACAUGAUAAUCAAACUUAUUGAUUGCCAACAGAAUUCAUAUCUGGAAAAUAAUGAGAAUUUUGAAAGAUGGUGUGGUCAAGGCUACUCUGCUUCUAAAGGAAGAAUACUACUGACAAAAUGGCUUGGUCAGGCAUUGACUGACUUGCAACAAUAUAACAGCUUUUGACACGCAACAAUAUAAAAGCUUUCAACAGAGUCUUUUCGAAAAAACAGGUCUGUUUAUGACUGCAGAAGAAGGUUAAGAAGAUAAGUUGAUAAAUUCCCUAGGAUAUAAGGACUAUACAUUUUAAAUAACGGACAAAAUAGUACUGUGUACAAUGGUUAAGUAGCUAAUCUACACGGUUCUAUUUAAAUAUCUGACAAAACUGUAAGUGUAGAAUGAUGAAUGUUUUGUUCUGUUUUUCAAAGGGUUAAGUUAUAUAAAAAAUUUUGAAAAAGAAACAAGUAUUUAUCAAGACCUUCACAAUUUUUUUAUGAAAUGGGUUAUUUUAUUAAAAAUACAGUCUGCUUUUCUUAAAAUUGUGUUUCUUACAUUCAGAACACUACUGUAGCUGAGAGCGUAGAGCUAUAACAUCGAUGUCACCCCUGUAAUUCAAUUUCAAGAACAAAGAAGACCAUCUUCAGAAACUGCAGGGCAUUAAGAAUUACCCUUUCCGGCUUCUUGUGUGCUUGAAAUCCUGGUUGACUGAAUCAAAGAUAUAAGGUCAAUGGCUUCAAAAUACACCCUUCGAUAAUGGUCUUUCUUUGCAAUGACAGAUUUCAAUCGAAGCAUAUUGUUUGUGCUAUCAUUGCACUGGCUGCGACAAGAUUUUAAAGAAAGUUGUAUUCUAAUCAUCGCAUCUUUGAUUAAUGAGACUAUUGUAUCGGCACUGAUAUUCGAAACAUUGUAGAAUCCAAGAAAAUUGUCAUGAGCAUCUAUUUUUUCAUCAAUCCAGUAAACGCAAAAUGUAAACUGUUCUCUGUUUAAGAUGUCUGUUUACUCAUUGCAUAUAAGCAAAAAGAAGUGCGGUCAAAUGUCAGCAGCUAAGCUUUGCAAAAUGCUAUGAGACAUGAUGCCAAGGAUUUUGUUUUCAAUAUCGUGACUUCUGUAUUUGUCUUGCUUGUUCUUAAGCCAUUUUUCAAACUUUUUAUCUUCAAAACGUCUAGGGUGAACAAACAAAUCACUGACUGAUUUCACUAGACCUAUCAUCUUUCUAAUAUGUGUUAACUGACAAGCUGAGGCAGCCGCUAAGUUCAAUAUGUGGGAUCUCCAGUGAAAGUAAAUUGCAUGGGGAUAUUUCUUCUGUACCGUUGCAGCAGCUCGAUACAUAUACCCGCCAUAUUUCUGGCUCUAUUCUAUCCCUGCCCACGACUAAAUUUUUCGAUCAAGAUAAAGUUUUUCUAUGGCUUCUUUGAUUAUUGCAGCAACCUGAGAGCCUUUGUGUUACUCACUACAAUGCACAAAACCUAAGGAAGCUUCCUUUAAAAUAAAUAAUUGGUAGACAUAUCGAAGAACCAAUGUCAUCUUUUCUUUUACUGCAAUAUGACUUACCUACAAAUCAAAUGAAUAAUGGACUUGAUAAAUUAAUGCAACAAAAGUACACAUAAAUUAUAGAUUUUUGUAUGCCCCACAAAAAUCGGAAUUUGCCCAUAUGAUUAAACCCUCUUUAUCUUGGAAAAGCCCCCCCCCCCCUUAACAGCCUGAUCAACACUCAGAUUCGGAAUCUGCAUCAAAACCUACCUUUUGAACACGAAUUUUUUUUAAAUAUAUGAAGAUGGUGGUAAGCUAUGAAACUAAUGUUAAAACAUACAAAAGAAAUAUUUAGUUAUAAUUUACUAAGGUUUUUUGAGCUGUAAUGCAACACUGUACUAGCAAAGUUUUAUUUCAAAGUUUUAUUGUACGAGCAGUUAAGCGAAAUAUGGAAUCUAAUAAGCUAUACCCCCCCCAUCGCUUUUCAAAACUCUAGCGUAAUGACAGCAUAGUGUGGGGAGGAAUGCACGAAAAGGUGGCAUGCAAACAGUAUGAAGAAAAAACAAGGAAAACAGUCACUUCAACUGGGCUGCAUCUUUUCCAAUGUGGAUACCUUGGUUGUUCCCCAGAUGGAAUUAUUACUUCAAAAGAAAUGAAUGGUCCAGGAGCCCUGGAAAUUAAAUGCCCUUGGAAAUACAAGGACUCUUCUAUCAAUGAGAUGAUCGAGAAGGAAAUGACUUCUCCAUCACAUUUCAGACAAUUUUAUUCAACUCAUGACAUGACCAAUUUACUGGCAUCAGGUCCAAAAAGAAAUGGCUGUUUUGGGACCAAAUGGGCACAAUUUGUUGUUUGGACAAGUUAAAGGUUAAAGGUGUUCAAAAAGAAAGAAGUUGUUGUGUUGGGUUUUGUUGAUGUAGUUUUGAAAGUACACUAAAUUUGAUUAAAUUUUAUGUCUUCAACAGUUUCAUUUUGAUAUGUCAUAUUCAACAGAGGUGUACCAAGAGGUUAUAGGAGGAGUAGCUUUUAUUCACUUUGGGAAAAAAGAGAUUACUCAAUAGCACUGAAAUAAUGCAAAGGGCAAACGUUUUCAGAAAUCUUUUUGAUCUAUCAACCCAUCUACUCUAUUGAAUACCAACCUAUAUAUCAAUAAACUAAUAGCAGGUUCAUAUUUUAUUUGCACAAAAAAAUAAAAAUUUUUAUUGUUAUGUUCUGAAUUAUCAGUUUGUUGUCUGUUGGUUAUUGUUAUUACUUUUCCUUCGUUUUAUUGUUCAUUGUUCUCAUUGUCUAUGUCACUGAAUGUCAAAAGAUGUAUUUUGGAACAAAUAAGUGUCUUAUUAAAAGAGGAGGGUCUCUGACAAACAGCUCAUAUAUCAAUGAAUGGAGGGGGGCAAAACAGAGUUUGAUCUUACGCAGUACAUAAAAAAUGACAUAUAUGGCAACAGGCAAUAUGCUAUUAGUGUCUCACUACUUAAAUAUUCCACUUAUAGCUGUUGACUGCAGAUUAACAAGGACUGCACAAACUUGAACAAUUUUAUUGGCAAAUUGUCUUUGAUUGGUCUCUAAAGCCUGCAAUAUUUUAAAAUUUUGAAGAUCCUCCAUUGCCCUCUCCACACGGAUUCUUGACUUUGAAAUUUUUCUUCAAAGUAUGGCUUCAGCCUUGGUGAAUCUUUCUUUGCCACUUAAAAAAGCAGGCAAAUUGAGAGAUACUCCUUGUGGCAGUAUAUCAUGGAGAAGAAAACCCUUGUCUGCCAGUAUAAGAUCUCCAGCCUGUAAAAUUUAAGAAACACAAAAAGCUCAAAAGUAAUUCUCAAAAUGUUUUCAAAACAUUAAACUUUAUUUAUUUUGGAGUGAUUAGAAACAAAAUAUUACAUUUGGGGAUUAACAAUUUGGCAUUUUUCACUAAAUACAUUUUGAAAAAUAUAUUUUGUUGCGCAUCAUUUACUUAAAUUCAAAUACAAGAAACUAUUCUUCAGUUGAGUUGAUCAAACUGGACUUCAGUUAAUUUUGUGCAGAAAUUUCAAAUUGGUUAAAGAAUUAAAAAUUUGAUAUUCUAUGCAUGUUACAAGUAGGGACUUACCUUCAAAUGGCUGACCUUCAAAUGGUGUCCCCUACCUUCAAAUGGCUUAAAAUGUUCUUUUUAAGAUUCUUGGGUGAUAUCGUAAGAUUCUUGAGUGAUAACUUUAUCACUGGUGCUUCCAGGAUAUACCUCACUCACAAAGGUUAUUUUCCCAUUAGGAGCAACACCAAUGAGAUAUUUUGCUGUUAAGUUAUGCUUGUAGUUACUAUAUACAAGAUUUGCUGCUUCCAGGUCCUUCCUUGGGGCUGACAAACGGAACUCUAUACAGUCUAAAAUGAUACGGCAGUUUGAAAAGUCACCAAAAGACUCGGGCAUAGUUGACUGAUACUUGGCAAGGGAUAGAACAUUUUGCAUCAAUUUUAUAAAGAUAAUCUCAUGUAGUAGAUGAAUAUAUGUGUAGAAUAUAUUGGUUAUGGUUGUUCUGCUAACUCCAAAUCUUUUAGCCAAAUCAAAGAGUGUGACAUCAAGCUUGAGCUUCAUCAGGAAAACCAGAAGUUGGUCGGAGUGACUUAAAGAUAAAAUCCAAGACAUACCAAUACUUCAAAGGUUUAAAAUGAGCCAAAAAUUGACUCAGUUCUUCAAAAGCAAUCUUAGUUAAUGUGGUAUAAUUCUGUACAUCUUUAUUAUUCAAUUUUUCAUAACAAAAAACUUUGCCCUGGAGUUCUUUAAUUUCUGCCAUGGCUUCUUGUAAAACACCCUUUACUCCGGCAAGGUUCUGAUCCAGAUUGCAAGCAGAUUCUUCAGUGGAUUAUUGCAUUGUUACAUCAACACUGCUGCUCAUGCUACUAUAUUCAGCCAAGUCCGUGGAUGUUUCCCCUUCACCGGCCAUAUCUCCUGUAACCACCAUGGCUUCAUGUUCACUUCUCGCUUUCUGAGCAGCUCUAGAUUGGCGCUUUGGUUCUCGUUCAUCAACCUCAUUUCCCUCAAUUUCAAGCUUGGGAUUGCAGUUCUCUUUAAUCUAAGCCUUCAGAAUUGGGCUGGUGUAUCAGACCUUGGCUGAGAAUAACCAGUUCUUUCAAAAUGUUUGCCAAUGUGAGAAUAACACGAAUGACAACUUUUUCGGAACCAACCCGACAUGACGAAUUCUGAUCUCCCAAGCUUUCGAAAGCUUCUUUUCACUUUCCUGUCUCUCCUUUUACCGAUAAAGUUUUGCAUGACUCCAACAGAGCCACACGUCAGCUUGAAGAGGCCUCAUUGAAAAUAGAAACUUGUCAUCUUUCAUUAGUUUUCAGAUUUUCAGGUCCAUCAAAGAUCCCUUCUUUAAGUUUCUCAAGACUCAGUCCAGUAUAUGAUUUGCAAUAUUAUAUGAAGCCCUGCCCAUCUUCGUCCAGAGCUUUCAAUAACUGUUUGAUCAGUCCCAACUUUUUAUGUAGAGGAGGGAGUAUUAUCCUGUCUCUAGAUACAAGGGGUUUGUUUAUUAUAUUUUUGUCUCCAGCUCUGAGCGUUUCUUGAGGUUCUCCAUCCUUUUUUACCAAAUGGUUGACUUUAUUACAAUAGUCCCACAUACAUAAGAAGCACAUAUGUUUUGUAUAGCCAGAUUGCUGUUCAAGCAUGCAACUUGGUUUGCUUGUUUUCACCUUAGGUUUCCAUAGGUAACAAUCUCAAUAGGCAAGCAGCACAAUGAUGGAGAACCUGGAUUACACUAAUAAAUAAUUUUCGUGCUAGCAACGACUGAUGUUUACUUUUUGCAGGUUGCAGAUAUGAAACAGUUGAUGUUAAAUAGUAUAAGGAUACAGGCAGGCCUUGGGAACCCCCCAAAGACAUACCACACUGAGGAUGCAAACUUUCAAAAAAGAUUUUCAUCUCAUCUGUAGAUCUCCUCUAAAUUACUGAAGAUGAAGAAAAUCUGCAGCAAACCAUUACUGUGUCAGCGGUUUUCAAUUGCAAGCAAAGUGUCGGUUGUUAUUUUAGUCAGGGCUGUUAAGUCACUUUUUAGGUCGAAUUGUGCAAAUUGUGAUACUAGCAUGAAACUUUGCAAGAGGGGACAGUUUGAUACGCUGAAAAAGAUAGGAUAUGGACCCCAACUGAAAAUCGCCCGCUUCGGCUAUUUUUAGACUGAGAUACUUUGCCCCAAGCCCCUAAAGGCGCUAUUACAAUACAUCUUCUGUAAGUAGGUACAAUAGCACAAAACUUUGUAAUAGAGGGCAGUUUGAUACGGUACAAAAGAUAGGAUAGAGAACUCUUUUUAAUAGCUGAUACUAGCUGAAAAUUGCCCCCUUUUUAUAUUUUUAAACUGGGGUACUUUGCUGCAGACCUCUUUAGACCGUGGUAUCGUAUCCCAGCUGACUUUGUUCCUACAGCAUGAAACUCUACAAAUAAGGGCAGUUUGAUACACUGAAAAAGAUAGGAUAUGGACCCCAACUGAGAAUUCUAUAUCUUUACUGGGAGUAGACACAAUAGCAGGAAGGCAGCCUAUUGGCUCGGAAGUGCCUCUAAAUAUUAAGUUGUUAUUUCAAUAAGCCACCGGUUCAAAAACUCAGUGUCAGUAAAAUGCUUGGGAAAUAAAAAUUACACAGACUAUUGCAAAGAAGAAAAUUAGCUUUGCAUAAAAAAUUUAAAACAUCAACUAUGUGAAUAAAGGGAAAAUUACUUUUUUGGCUCAUUCUAGGCCAAAAAACACCUCUUGGUUUAUAAACCCGUAUAUUAACUCAACAGAAGCAGAUAAAACAUUUGCAUUUCUAUUCUUUAAGCAGCAACCGCUGCCACCAUUGCUCAGUUGCCGCAGUCGCACUUCAUGAACGAGAAGCUGUUUACUUUGAAAUAGCUUCCUGGUACAACUGUUUCUCAAUGCUAAGGAUAUAGGAGGGAAAUACAGAAUUCACCCUUGGUUUAACCGCCAAAUGCUCAAAAUGUCCAUUUUAACUCAACCUGUUUGCAAGAUGCAUUCAACAAAGAUAUCCCAUGUUUUAUCAGCUAUGUUUCUAUGUACCACAAGAGUUUAUUAAUUUUCUGAAGCCUACAAAUCUCCUUUGCUUAUAUGUUGAGUUCGGGUGGACACCAUAAACAAUGAACAGUGUGAUGAACUUUGAUGGACACUUCCAUUAAAGAAGUUAAACCUCAUUGAUAUUAUAUUUUCUGAUUUUCGUGAGACUACCAAUUUUUUUCUUGCCUAAUAAAGGUGACUAUGAAAAUUGAUCUGCAAAAGUCAUACCCCUCUAAAAGCCAUAAAUGCUAGUGACGAAUUCCAGCAGGAUAUUAAGGAAGUAAAUAGUGGAAGCUUUUUCUUAAAAUUCUAAACUAUUUUUAUUGGUAAAGAAAGUUAAGAAUCUUCACUUCCAGCUAUACCAACAAAGAUUACUAAUUCUGUUAUACAGAACGAUAAUCCUGACAUAUUUGAUCAAGUUUCAAAUGAAAAUAAGGGUAGCUACACACAAUACAGUUAACUCAAAAUUUUAAUUUCUUCAAGCUUUUUAAUUGCUGUAGUUGAUAAGGUGCUUGUCUUCAGAGUUUUUUUAAUUUCAACAUUAUGGUUGAGCCCCCAAAGUCUCAGGAGCCCCACCCUAAAUGCUGCCUCUAAUUUCGAGAUUUUGAAGUACUGGUAACAUCUUUUUACUCUUUAUUUCUAAAAUUGUCAGUUUGGAAUCCAUGUAUUCUAGCAUUUUUUAAAUCGUUAUUCUUUUAUAGUCAUAUGGAAAACUGUAAUUUGUUGAACUUUGCACUUUUAGCCUGAUGUCUGGUAUAAGGCUAAAAGUUUAUCUAAACAGCUGCACAAAGCUUCAAAGGGGAAAGACUGUGAAGGGUUGAAAGAAUGGAUACCAAGCAUUGUUAACCAUUUUUGGUACUCAUGUCAAGUAGUAAAUGGCGAUGUUAAAAACUUUGAGACUGCUGGCUUGGCACAGUGCAUCAUGUCUGUGGAGCACACACAUGAUUAUCUUCCAAGUGCAUGCAUGGGCCUAUAGUAGAAAAAGAACCAAAUACCUUUAUGUGCAAAGAAUCAAAAGCAGCUAAAGCACUUAGGUCAGGUGUUUUUGACAAAAAAUUCCUUGCCAACCUCAAAUAAUAUGUCAGAUUCAGACAUACAGGCAAUGUAGAAAACACUACCAGCAUGCUCAUAAAGUAUGCCCCUAAAAGAGUUGCAUUCAAGUAUAUUUAUUUUAUUGCAAUGAUUGCUCUGGCAGCCAUGGAUCACAACCUUCAUUUGUUCAAACCACUAGCCGUAUCAGGUAACAAACUCGUUUCCAGUUUCUUCUUCCCACAAAGACACUGCUUGCAGCAUUUAUUUCCCCUAUCUUUACAGGGGCAACCGGUCUUCCUUCCACUUUUUUUGAACAUGUUGUGCUGCAGAUUCAUGUUUCUCGCUGAAAUUUAGUAUGAAGAGAAUAGUCAUAAAACGUUCAAGAAUUUUAGGCUGCCAUGCGUGUACAAAAAAAAAUUUAGGCUGCCAUUGGAAUUUUAGCAGUGUUUCUAUAAUUGUCAUGAUAAAACCAUCAAAAUUGAAUUACCUGAGUUGUUCAUCAAAAACUAAUUCAACUUCUCCUGACACACUCAUCCUUUCUCGUCUAUUUCUCCUAGACAAAAUCUGAUGCAAACAAAAAGUUUGCUCCAGGUCUUGUUUUUUUUCAAGGGGUGUUUUGCGAUUGUUACGAUGCGCAAUGCAUACUGGUUGACCAGGGCCCUUCAAUUACAAGCGGAUCCUUCUUUCUUUACGAGCCCAGGGGCAAUUCCUCCUCUUACCCACUCUCGUUGGGCCUGUUUUAUAAUAAAAGAAGUAUCUAGACUUCAAAAGCUCCAGGGCUCCGCUAAGGUAGCUACUGUACUGGACUCGUAAAGGGCCAAAAAGGAUGCAUUUGAAUCCAUUAAAAAAUGCUUGAAGAUUGGGUUUUUGUUGAAAAAUUAUAAACUAUCAUACUAUAAACCAAACAGAACUUUCAUAUUUUUUGAAAGCAAGAGGUUAAAACCGAAUUACGAGGAAUCAAAAAUCUAGAGUUCAACAAAACGUGUUCUCAGCGUGAAGCGUCCGGAAGUUCAGCAAUAACUGAUUGAAAUGUCAAUCACUUAAUAUAACAAGAGUCAUCAUAAUGAUAAUCAUAUAUUUUCAACACGUCACAAAUGUUAUACUGUAUUGAAGUAGGUAAUAGGUAAGCUAAUGAAGCAAUUUCAAUCCUAUCUGCGAACAAAGUUCUUCAUAUCUUGGUUUUGGUAAUCCUUUAGUCAUUAUGUCAGCAAUCAUCUCUUCAGUCGACAAUAAACAAGGUCCAUCUCUUUCUUUUCUGUAACUUUCCUGCCGUUAUGAAACUCAAUGGGAUAUGUUUCGUUUGAGAAUGACUUUUCGGAUUUCGUGAAAGAGCUAUUGUUUCUUGAUUAAUUUCAGGCCAUGCUUGGGAAAAAUGAUAGGGGUGCGAUGAACUGCACUCCUUGUGGUGCUAAGGCUGGUGUGCUACUGCACCAAAGUACUUAAUAGUACAUUCAGCUGUAUAUAGACUAGACAACAUAACUUUAUUUUAAGAAAACAUAUCACAAGGCUAGUCCAAUUUUUAUUAAAAAAGCUUUAUUAACGACAAAACCAAUAUAUUGAAAAGAACAACAUCAACAAUAAGGUAGGUUAAUAAUAUGCAAUCCUGCAGUUUAUAAACCCUUCUUGUCUGCUUCUACUAAAGAAAGUUAAUCUGUUGACUAAUGUUAGAACGAAAUAAAUUGUUAAUUACACGUUUUUUAUUUUUGCCAGUGGAAGUUUCUAAAUAUUGUUGGCCUUCUACUGGUUCUUACAAAGCACUUUCUUAUAAAAAUUUUUGUGUAUGUAGUAAAAAUUCUAUUCCAUUGAACCAUCAUUUUCUUCGCUGUCCGAACAAGAAGAUUCUGAUUCAAUGUUGAAGUCAGAGUGGCUUUAAUCACUGCCGGAAUUUUCUUCAAUUGCAGAACAUUGAGCCAGCGCAUUUGUAGAUGCAAUUUUUUCGGCAUCUGUGUUUUUGUUUGUGAAAACAGUUGUUCUCCUCUUUUGCAUGUAUGCAUCCACCACACAAUUGAUAACCAUUUCCUUACCUCUCUUGACCAAUUUUUGUCAUUGGAUGCUAUAAUCAUGCACUUUUUCCAUUAUGUCAUAUGACACUCCAAGGCGGCGGGCAGAAAGUACUAGAGAAAUAAUGUUGAAAGACCUCUCCACUGAGGAAUUAGAUCCUGACAUGCAGAAGGCUAAUUCUACCAGUAAUGCCAUAUUGGCAAACUCUUCGCGUCGGAAACUGCGAAUCUUUUUCUAAAUUUGCAGCACUCCAUCUUGGAAUACAAGGAUCGUUGUAGAACUUUAAGAGAGCUCCACUCAUAGAACUCGAAGCCAGCUGCCGUCAUGAGGGAAUCAAAUUCGACACACAACCUGUUUAUUUCUGCAUUGCCAUACAUCUUGUUGCUAUUGUCCCAAAGUUUUGGGUCUAGCCAGAACUGAUCGUAUGUGGAGAAGCGAGUGUCAAUUUUUGGAAGUAAAAUGGUGGUUUUUCUAUGCUGGAGAAGUCAACAUCGGUUAUCUACUCCAGAUGAAAAACAAUGUAUUCACGAUCUUGACAGCUUUUUCUAUGCUGGAGAAGUCAACAUCGGUCAUCUACUCCAGAUGAACAACAACGUUUUCACGAUUCUUGGUCUUUCGCUUUUUGUGCCUGUUGUGUGUUUCAGAGAAGUCAAUACAGUGCUCACCAAGAUUUCUGACUGAGACUAGAAAUUCAUAAGCUCAACUGAGCCCCCUUUUAUACACCGGUUGUUUACGAAUUAUACACGGUUUUGCACGAUGUUGUGUAUUGAAGUAAUCUUGCUGCUUUUGUCUGUAGACAGUUUCUUUGUCGUUCAGCUUUCUGAGAUCUGGCCACUUUGGUUCAAGUUGAGUAUGAGUUCUUCUAACAUUGUGAGUGGGAUCCAUGUAAUCACACAACUGCAUACCCUGUCUAUAAAUAUGUGUGAUAGAUAGUUUCCUGAUUCCAUAUUCCGUAUUCUGGACUCCAUAUUCUGGAUUCUGUGUUUUAAAGGUAGCCUUGUAAAAUCCCUAGAUAAGUCUUUUCAAAACCUGAAAGACCUGACGUAACUUCUUCAUGCCAUGGUAAAAUAAUUUCAUCCCUUAAUGACCGUUGGAUUACCAAUUGCUUCCUUACUGUUUCCCUGAACCUAGCGUUACCUUUGUCAACAUGAUAUAAGAUUUUAUUCCCCAUAAAACGAUCUUCACUAGUUGCCAUAAACUUAUGUGCUUCCUUACAUUCAACAGGUAUGUUGUCCUUGUUCUUGCAUAUCUUUCACUCGGUCAUUGUAACCCUUGAACCUCUACAGUAGAUACAUAACUAUCGUUAUUCUUAAUAUGAUUGCAUUCACAUUGCAAUAUUCUUAAUAUAAUUGCAUGCAUCCUUAAUAUAAAUGCUAUAGUCCUCUCAACUUCACCAAUUUGUUGUGCAAGAUCCGCAUCUAUACCCAUUUGAGAGGUCAGUAUGGAGAGUAAAUUUAUGAUCAAAAUUUGGAUUUGAUAGAAUCCAUGCUGACAGCAAAGCGUUUCUUAAAAUUCUAAAUGCAAUAUGACCUUGUUCAUUCCAAUAGAAUAUUACACCUUUUUAAAGCAAUGCAUUUAUUGAGGUAGCUAUAUUAGCAAAACCUUUGAUAAAUAUAUGAAAAUAUUAAACAAGUGCUAUGAAACUUCUUACUAUGAAACAAUUUGUCGGAACUAGUUAGUUACGUAUUACAGCAACUUUCUCAGAGUAAGGUUUUAUACCAUCCUUUCCUACGAUGUGCCUUUAGUGUGCCUUUAGUAGAGAACCUUUGGUUUGGAAAAAUUACACUUUAUUGGUUUUAGUUCACAUCCCUCAGUUCUAAAUCUACCAAAUACUAAACGCAGGUUUUCAAGAUGAAUGACUUAGGAAAAACGAUGAAGUAAUCUAAAUAUACCAUGCAUAUAUAUCAUUGUAACCAACUUAGCACUAAUUGCAUCAUUCUCUGAAAAGUGAAACUCGCAUUAACUAAACCCAUUGGCAUUACUUUGAAUACAAAAUUUCCUGCACGAGUACAAAAGACAGUCUUCUCCAUAUCUUGGGGGUCCAUAGGGACUUGAUAGUACCAAGAAGCUAAAUCUAGAGAAGUAAAAAAGCACGAAUCUCCCAGGAAUUUUGUCUAUCCUAGGAAAAAUUUGCUUUUUGAUCCCAAGUUUAAUUUUUUAAAAUCAACACAAAAUCACUAAAGGUUGUGACCAUGGGCUAUCAGACAGUUAAAUGAUACCAUUCUGCAGCAUGCUAUUAUGUGCGUAUCCAUCAUGUCUUGUUGGCUAUGGCCUUUGUCUUAUAGGUGGGUAUUCCCUGUAUCUAUUCUGUGCAAAAACCUAUCAGCCUUGCCUAAAUCUAUAUCCUUGGUAACAAAAACGCCUUCAUAUUCCAUCAGAAGUGAAAUUAAACGAGUUCUUUUAUACCAAGUAAUGUAGAAUCAGACAUGCCAAUAUCAUUUAGCCAAUUGAAGUCAUAAUCAAAAGAGUCACAGACUUUCUGCACUAAAUUGAUCUUUCCAUCAACAAUUUCAGCCCUUUCUAUGCUUUGACUGAAGGGUCUGAAAAAACUUUGACUGAAAAAUUAUUAGUGUUUACAAAUUUAACAAGAAUGGUUUCGUUCUCUACAGAAGCAAUAGUUCUUGCAGGGUAAAUGACAGAUUCAUUCUUACAUAAUAAAUCAUUUUUUGGCUCAAAUACAACUGUACCUUGCAACCUUUCGAUACUUCCCUUUAAAAUGGCUUUACUACGCAUUGGGGUGUCUAACCAUUGCAAGAGGUUGACCCAUACCUGCUGGCGUUUCCUAACAGCACUGAUAGGUAUCCUAGUGUGACCAAUGCAGGCUUAUAAGUUACACAAGUCUAUGCGCUUGACUUGGUUAAAAAGUCAGUGCCAAGUAAGAAAGAGUACUUAAAGUUACUUCCAACGUAACACUCAACCAACCAAUAACUAUCUUCUACAACCAGAUUUAUUGUUGUACAACCUAGAAUUUGCAAUUCUUCUCUCGUGACACACUUGGCUACAAUGUCACAAAACAAAUCAACAAAUCACUACUUAUGAUGGAUAUACCUGAUACCUGCUUCCAAACCUAACACAAUUGCUGUGUCGUAACUUUCAAUAUUUAUGUUAACAAUUUUUUUGCGGUACAGAAUUUGAAAAUGGCUUUGAAAAAAGCAAACAUUUUACGACAUACUAAAAGGUCGUAAAAUGUUUGCCUUUUUCAAAGCCAUUUCCAAAUAUUUAUGUUACAAGUUAUGCACUGCCACGAUUCAUUAGAAAAGAAAUUUAUACUAAAACUGUUCUGAGGAUUUUUUUCCUUUUUAGCUACCACACACCUCAAGUUUUUUUGUUUCUGGCAUCCAUGUUUUUUUAAACAUGCUUUUUCCGAGUGUCCUACUUUCAUGCAGAAACCGCAUAUUGGUCACCUAUCCAUGCAACGUAAAUGCCUGCUCAAAUGGUUGCUUGUUCUGGCUUGUUCUGGCAAAUCUCUGCUUAUCUGGUUCCGCCUUCUUUUAUGGUGUGUUAGAGGACACCGAUUCCUCCAAGCAAUCCAUGCAUUUUGCCAUGUCAUUUUUUGAACUUUGGACUGACCCAACAAGGACUUUAAUGCUUUCCUUUUUGUCCGGUUUCACCCAUGGUUAAAAGAAACUUACUAUCUGGUGGUGAAUUUCUCCCCCUGUUGCUGUUGAAUGUUGAAGGGUCGGCAAUCAACACUAGGGUCGGCGAUUUGUGCUCUCACAUAAAGUUGUCUUGGUAUUGAGCGGGCAUGUCUGCAUAGGGUUAUUGAAUCAAUUGUUGGAAAUCUUGUCCAAAAUUGUUCGCUGAGUCUUGUUCUUCUUGUUUUCUUGAAAAAAGGUCUGGAUAGAAACGUCUUCUUGCUUCCUUUGGUAAGUAAUGGUUUUGCAGGGUUUCUAUGAGCAAUUCAAUGUCAUACUGAACUUCUUUUGGAAGCUAAUCCCAAAAGUCAGCAUCUCUUUCCUGUAAAAACAGGUAGCACAUCUACUUGUCUUUUCUGUGUACACUCGUUGGCUCUUACUGCUCUUUCAAAUGCAUUUAUCCACUUUUCUACAUCUUUGCAGGUUUCACCAUAAAAUUUUGGUGGAUUGAUUAGAUUCUCACAACUGCUGUCGAUUUGAUGUUUUGCUUUGCUUUGGAAAGUUUAUGUACACAAUAGUAAAUAUAUUGAGCAACUGAAGUGUAAAAAAAAGUAGCAGUAUAAAAAAUGUUCCUUUAUUUACAUCUUACUAUCGUGUUCUUUCAGUUUUGGUUCGAGACUAUCACCAGUGUGAGGGGCUUCGAAUAUUUGGCUAGAAUGAUUUUCCAAGCAGUAGAAAAUACUGAAUGGAACAUAAGAUUUGCUUCUCAAGAAUACAAAUCAUAAAAUGUUAGCUUUUACAAGUCUAAGAACAGUGGCCUUUUCCGACUAGAUUUAAAUCACAUCAAAUAUACUUGAUACUUGUUUGCUUGGCCAAUAAAUUUGAUCUAGAUAUUCACAACUGCAUUGGUCAAUAUUAUGAUUCGUCUAGAAACAUAGCUGACAAGUAUUCUGAAGCUUCUGCUUGAAUUCUUCAAUAGAAUCCUUCGGCUUUUUAUACAUACAGUCCCUCUCAUACAGGCCUGUGUAUUACAAAGUGUGACAUAGUGUGCAUACCAUAGUGUAAACUUGUGUAUUGGUUCUGCUUUUAAGACAAGAACGUUAGCAUUAUGUGAGCUAAAACAGAGAUAGAGCCUGGAUAUCUUGUGUAGCUGAUGGAUCUUUUUUGGCUAUUGCCAGUCAAUGUUGACUUUUUUAAUACUCCAAAAACUGUAAGGACCGACCUUGGUUAUAGUUACCUACUGUGCAACAUGAGAUUGUUGAGGUUGAAAUCUUGAAAGGGUUUCAAAUAGUGAAGACAACUAUUUUUUCUUUGCAAAGAGGCAGAUGCGAAAUUGAAACAAAUCACAGACAACAUUUUGAAGAUGCUUGUGAAAUAGCAGACAAAGUUCAAAUACCAGUAAUGGCCUAUAGAGUCUGCAGAACACACAGGUCUAGAAAUAUGUUCAAGCUUCUGAUUUACACUGUCAGUAUAAGUAAUGAACGAUUUGUGUUCAAUUUUCAGGUCCCGUCAUCUCGUACCCACUGACAUUAGGCAACAUGGUUUUGAGCCUGUAAAUGUUAAGGGCGAUGGAAACUGUAUUUUUCGAGCGGCCUCUAUGCACAUUUACAGUACCGAGAGGAAUUGGAGCUGGGUGAAACUUCGCACUUUGAAUUUUGGUUUACUUUCCAUGGAUACCAUUGUUGAACAAAUUAACGCAGUUGACAUGGACAAGAGAAACCUGGCAUUUCAUUUAACGACAGAUGGCGUUGCCUCGAAAUACCAAAAUAUUUCAGAUGACCUUUCGUUGAAUUUCUAUUAUAAAUUACAAUAAAUUGCUCGCCUAGUUUCCUCAACAUCCUGAGAGAUAAUCAUUGUUAAUCAGAUUUCACUGAACCUUAUUGAAUUUGUUGUUGAGCUAGCAAGCUGAUUUAACCAAGGGUUUUUUCAAGAUUUUGUGAGGUUUGUGCAACGUAUCAAUCAGUCUUCUUAAACAGAAUGAACUAUUUAAUGAUAAUUUUGGGGACACAGGAAACACUACUUAACGAUCCUUUUCCUUUGCAACAUGAUCUUAAUCCUAAUGAAAUACUUCAACUGUAUUGGAAGGGUGGUUAAUUAAGCUAGCAGACAAAACUCGAUUUGUUUCUCUUACUUAAAAAACCUAGUAAUGUUUUCUUGCUAAAUUUUUCAAAGUUGCACAUAUUUUGUUAGAUACUUGGUAAAAUCAUUUAACUUGGUAAAAGUGUUAAACUUUGAAAAUUCAAGUUCUUUGUGCAUGAUGAUUCUGCUGUUUCAGUUGAAUAUAUUUUCAAUUGUGCUCCUAUUUUUAUUUUUAUUUCAAUCCUAAUUAAAUUCAUUCUAGAUGAGCUAUUGCUACACGUAAAAUCCUUUUAAGAUCCUAUGAACAGAAAUUUCUCAUAAGGCAUUUUCCUUGCUAGCUAUACUUCAUAUGAUGAUGAUAUCUGGUGCUUUUGGAAUAAGGAUACAUUCCUUUUCGUCAAAUGUGCUUUGAAUUGGCAAUUUGGAUCUGAAGAUCUCGAAGACGUAUGUCGAUUGCUGUGGGUUCCGUCAAGCCUUAAUGGUCCUAUCAACCAUGUUGUUCUCUUGGUACACUUGGAACCAGAAGAACGAGCUGAAGUUUGCUGCAGCAUCCAAUUCGAUCAUGCAAAUGUAUGCUCUUUUUCGCUGGGUGAAACCACCUCUUCAGAAAUCAUGGUCUGUCAGCAUUGCUUGCGGGACUAUCACGUAAGGUGUGUAAUGGCAACUGCCAGUGACGACAACUGGUCAUGCUUCUGUCAUUUAAAAGCUGAUUCGUUAUCAAGGUAGGCAAUUUUACAUUUGCUUUGUCAUUUUCAAGUUGAAUUAGAUAGACCAAUGCCAAUUUUUAAGCUUGGUGAUUUAAAAAAAGGGAAUGCCUGCGACAAUUGUACAAUUUUUCUGCUCCAUUUUGUGAAAUAAUUGUAACCUACUCCAUCCUCUUCUUAUUCAAUAUAUUGAAAAAGUUUAUCCUUUGGAGAUAUAGUUUAAGUCUCUCUUUUUCUAAUUUCUUGUGUGGGUGUUGCAAGCUAUCAACCAACGUAUGUACGUUAAUAAUAGUAUGUAUUAUGUACCUAUCAACCAGCUCAAGUUGACUGAUGAAAUGAAGAAGUUGCUACACAGGUAUUCACCAGACAUAAAGGUAGGUUAAUCUAUUCUAUAGCCUAUGGUAUACGCUAGGGUAAAAGAUAUUGCGGCUUGAUUACCUAUUUCAAUUAUUUCAUCCAUACCCUCCACAUUGCUAUACUGGAAAAUAUCUGACAGUGAGCCCUACAUUUUGAAGUGCUUGUAACGUUUGUCAAUUGCCGUCAUCGUAAGGGCAAGGUGUGAGAAAAUAUCAAAUUUUAUUGCGCUUCAUUAUUUUACCUAAAGGCUUCUCCCCGCAAAUCUAUCUUUUUUCAUGGGUCAUAACCUUCAUCUGAUAAAGUUGCUAAAUGAACUCUGUAAAAGUCUCUUUGAUGUGUCGUUUUAUCAGUGUAUGCUAUAUAUGCAUUUAUUGGAUUUUUGCUAUGCAUAUCUGCCUUACAGUAGUGUCUUGCGCGAUUACACGAAAAUUUUAGGUUUCCAACAGUUUCCGAGCCAUAUAAAAUUUACUUCCACUACCACUGAUAGCUGAAUAAUAUCAUUUCAGUUGCAAAGUUCAUUCACCACGAAUUAUCAGAUAAUAUUAGCCAGCAAACAAUCUGUCUUGGAAAAGAUAAUUUAUUAUUCGUAUAUGAUAUUAUUACAGAACUUCAUUACUGACAUGGCAAAGAAAGAAUUUUACUCUCCAAGACUGGCACUGUUUUUAAGAGGAGUGAAAAUUUAUUGCGCCGAUCCUCACAAAGAAUAUGCCUAGUUAGUGAUGCAUCGGUAAGGGCUUUUAAAGUUUCUAAACUGUUUUCAUUAGUUCCAGUCUUAUUAUCAGACCUUUCUUCUUGUACCAUGUUAAUUCUCUAUGACCUAUCAGUUCCAAUCACUUUCAAUCCUAAUAAUUUGUCUUUUAUUUAGUGGGGCAAAGUUGUUGAACACCCUUUUCGCAACACAAAUCCUAUUUCAAGAUUUAGAGGCUUGAGCGUGCCGCAAAAAAUUUCCCUGAACACGGGUGUAAUAGCUUUUAUAUUGUCAAACAUGAUUCAUCACAUAAUAUUAUAUUGGUUAUCCCAAAUGGUCAUCUUGUCGUUAUUCAUAAUUGCAAUCAUCUCCUUGUGUCUGGAGAUCAAAAUUUUGUCUACAAAUUGUUCUUGUACCAAUAAUAAUCGGAAUGGCGCAUAGCUGUCCAAAUUAUGUCAUGCUAAGCGCCAAUGUUAAGACACAUUUAUAGAAAAAAUACGCAAAAAAGUUCUUUUAUCGUCACUGAUCAUUGAAACAAUUCCAUCAACAUCGUAAAUUCAACAUAUUCCAAUUAAAGGCUUUUUGAAACGAUAAACUGUAAUAGGGCACAUACAUAAUCAGUGUCUUUUUUGCUAAGUCCUAAUGUUUUGAUAAACAUUGACAAUUUUAACAAAAAGGUUGGUUAAUUUCUCUCUCAAAAUAGACAAAGAUUAACUUUUUUCUUAAUAUCGUCUUAUUUAUUUGUAGAAUAAUUUAUCUUAUGUUGCUUUUUAUAAGAAAAGUUUUCCAUGUAAGGGCUCACACCUUUGAAAAAACACAGAAAAGGUUAGAAUUUUUAUAUAUGACGAUAAAAUAUGAUCAAAUGAAUUAAUCAUGGCAAAUGAAUAGGGUGUCAAACAAGUUAAGCGUUAAAGUAAGAAAAGGGUGAAUGUUUGAAGCUUCAGAAUCCUUUUUCUUGUUUAAGUGUGUAAUUGCAGUAAAAAAGAAGCAGCUUGAUGUAGCUGAGAAAAUUCUCUUCAUUCAUGUACGACACUUGACUCUUGAGCGUCUUCAGUGUUGCAUUUCUCUGCUCGUUGAUUUGGGUGUUGAUUCGGUCAUAUGCUGGUUGAGUAGAAGCAUUGUAGCUUUCAGCACAAGCUAAAUAUAAGAAAUAUACCUUUAAUUCAAAUGGCCCUUGACGCAUUGGGAUUGCAGGGACAGCUCUGUCCUCCUACCAAUUGGACAAAGCUUAAAAUAAAUGUAAAUGCUAUCAAAUAUAUUGCUUUUCUAGCCUAUCGUUGACAAUUCAAAUCCUUCUAUUUCGACAAUCUUUUCGUAUUGUAACUAUCACUGGCUAUAUACAUUUGAGCUAGCUUCCAAUCAUAAAGUACUGUCUCGCAAUAAUUCUUCAUUAUAUUCGAGUGUAUGUUGUACUGAAAUGAGAGCUCUUUUGUUUACACUCAUUUCCAUUUGAAAAAUUAUCUUUAAUCUGAUUUUCAUUUUUAUUCAAAUUAAUGAUCAAUAAAAAGAUGUGGUAUCACUGUUCGACACAAGAAAAAAGACCAUAAGGUAGAUAAAAACGUAGAACAAAGAUUGUUGUAUAUCUUUCAUCCGUAUAUUUAUCACAGGGGGCACAGUUAUUUGCAACUGCUUCGACAACAACAACAAUUUACAAACCUUUAUGAUUCUUCCAGUGGAAUCUGUCUACUAAAAAGUUGCAUUGUUCAAAGAAGCCAAGGUCUCUGUUUAAGCAGUAAUGAUGCAGAUGGCAACAGUUAUCAUAUAUUAUUGCUUCAGGGGCUGUAAAAGAAAUAAAUAGGCCAACGAGAAGGCCAACAAAUUACUUGUAAGAGGAAACAAUAAGCGAUGAAAGACAUGAUGAAAAACGCUUUUAAACAUAUCAAUUUUUACACUGCUUUCGGUAUUAAAAUUUAAAAAAAAAAUUAAAAUAUACAAAGAAAAUCAAAUCGACACAAUCAAAAAGAAACGAUGACUCUGAUUACAGGAGAAAAUCUUCGUUGAUUCCAAACAAAAAUAAUUCAGUUUGGAAAAGAUCCUGUUAUUUGAUGCGUCUACACAUUUGGACAUAAUUGGCUUUACAUUGUUACCAGAUGUUUUCCCAAGAUAGAUUUUGCGUUUCCAUUGCUAGUUUCGAGAACAUUGUCAUUCGAUACCAAACUCCGAAACGAUGCUGAAAAUGUGGAGGCAUUCAAAAAGUGGAGCCAUUCAAAAAGUGGAGUCAUUUCAAAACAAUCCUUCAAUCUGAAACAAUCUUCAAGAUAACAGCACGUAUUACUAAAACAAGAUCAAAUCACUUAUUAUGACAAUAGCUUGAUGUGAUAAAUCCUGUAUAAAUACCUUCAGGCAAUUUAGUUUGCAUAAUUGUGAAUGGGACAUUGGCAUUGCAUCAUUUCAAAACCGUAGCAGAUUUCUGAAUAGAUAAAAAAGGUGUUCCUAAAACAAAAUUUCGGAAAGAAAAAGCAAAAGUUGCCAAACGAGAGGUCAUACGGAACGAGUUCAUAGAAAGUUCAAUAUUUUUUAAUCACGAAAGCUGUUGACAGAAUCAUCCGUUCUGAAGCAACGAUUUUUGUCAGGUUUGUUAAUAACUCAUGAGAUUUCCUUUUUGGAUGACGACUAACUAUUUUAUAACAAACGGAAACCAUGCUAUAUGUUUGGUGGAAAGUUCAAGACAACAAUACAAUUUUCUCUGAAGAGCAACUGCACUGAUAAGUUAACUCCAAAUGGGCACCUCAGAUAUAUAUGCUACAAUUUAAUGACAUAUUUUUUCUAAAGCAAAGAACAUUAAUCAAAAGAGCAUACCGUGUUGACAGUAAACUGUGAAUAUACCAGGCAACAAAUUUGGAUGACCUCGAUAUGUUUUAGCACAUUCCUCCCUGGUGUCGCUCUUCGUUUUAUCCAUUGUGUAGGAGCCACGGUCGGAUAGCUGUGGCCACGAAGGAAAGAAGCUCAAACUGUUGGAUAAGAAACUGUUCGAUGUUGAGGUGUCAUGAGGCUGGAAAUCUGUGACAUACCUUGGCUUCACAAUUAGUUCUUCAAGCAACGUGAUCCACGGCUGUGGCAAAGAAGCAGCAGGAAGACAUUUUAUAACUCCAUAAACAAUGGGGGCACAAAUCUGAAGCUCGGAUAGGGCCUCUGGGUCUUUCCUUAUUAUCAGCCCAGAGGAUAAACGUGCUGCCAAAUGAUUGAAGGAAGCUGUCCGUGGUAUAUAAGAACAAACCGCACCUGAAGAAGGUACAUAGCUCCCUUGGAAAUUGCUCACAGCCUUGAAUAGCUCUUCACGAGCUUCUAGCACGUGUAAAAUGUUUGGAUGUUCGUGGCUUAGAAGUGUAUUUAGUGAUGCUCUUUCUACGCAUUCCAAAUAUUUGAUGAAACAAGUUUUCUUAGUAACAUCCUGGUUUUCCUCUUCUUGAUACAAACUCGUUGGCUGAAGCUAGUAAUGAUACAAAACCAAAGAUAGGAAUCUUGAAUUAGAAAUGAAAGAAUAAAUUUUGCACUCUUCUUAUUAUCGCCAGCAAAUAGAAUUAUUUAAAAUGAGAAAGCUUCAGAAUCUGACAGAGUAAAGAAUAGAACUGGCCCGCAUUUUCAUAAAGAUCAGAAGUUUUCAUAAAGAAUUGCUCAUAUAUUGACUACAAUAGUCUACGUAAUAACUUUCAGAAGUGAAGUUCUUGAUGUGGAAUUGAAGUAGCCCAUCACGGUAGCAAUACUAUAAUGUACGAAAAAUUUAUCUUUAAGCACAAAAAAGAUAUCUAUCACUUAUCUUCCACUGAGCAUUACAGGGUUGGCCUCGUUUGGUAGCUCUUCAAGGCCUCGAGAAUAUUUCCUCCGAUAGCCAAGUGAUGUUGCAUCGCAUAAGAUUAUUGGAGGAUAUUGUCCACACUUAGAACAAAAAAGGGACUCUCAUGUUAUCUAUCCAGAAGCAGAUGAUAAAGCAGAAGUUGAUAAUCACAAUCUCCAAGAUCUUGAGCCAGUGGGAGAUAGUGAGACACUAAGACGUUCUGAAAGAGAAAGGAGAAACCCAAACGGAUAUGGUGAAUGGAUAGAUACUGAAGCAAUUGAUCUUGAUAGUUUAUCUGAUGCAGAGAAUCUCACAGCAAAUGCUUUUCUCUCCAUUAUUCCAGAAGCAAGCCAAGAUCAAUAAAAAGAUGCUUGGAAUGGUGAAUAUGCAGAGAAAUGGGGAGAAGCAACUGACUCAGAGUAUGAAUCAUUGCGCAAGAAUGAAACAUGAACACUUGUUCCAUUGCCUAAGAAUAGAAAUAUUGGAGGCUCAAAAUAGGUGUUUAAAGUGAAACACAGAGCUGACGGUACUGUAGACAGAUUCAAAGCCAGACUAGUGGCACAGAGAUAUUCCCAACAACAAGGUGUAGAUUAUAAUAAAGUUUUUGAACCAGUUACAAGAGCAAAUUCCAUUCGAAUAAUUCUUUCCAUUGCUAAUGCCAUGAGCAUGGACAUCCAUCAAAUGGAUGUGAAAACAGCCUUUUUGAAUGGCAAUUUAGAUG